CUUCCCCCCCAGGUACUUAGGUUAUUAUAAAACCAGGAGCCUUCAAAGCCCCAAAAAGUGACUUACCACUAGCACCU
rnacentral:tRNA from 1 species